GAAAGUCCCAGGGCAACUUAAUCUCUUAUGUCAAUAUACAGCCUACACAAUCCCCACAGACACACCUAAGCCUGAGAGUCCCGCCCACCUUCUUGUAAGGAAGUCAAUCUCCAAUCAGUCCUGACAGAACAGUCCACUUGCAGAGCUCACAGGCUUUCCUGGGCUGACAACUGAGUCCUGAAGCCACGGAGGGACAGGACCCAGAGGCUAGAGAGGACAGCUCAUAACUGACGGUGACACCGACAGAAACAGCGUGGAAGAUUCCAUACAUAACAAAGUGGUUAUGAGAGAACCUCGCAGGCGGGGUUGACCCACCGCUCACAAACCAUGAAGAGAUUUAGUGCAACUCCUUGUGGCCAUUGCCUUGUGAUGCUUCUGGAGCAGCGUUCAAAGUGUUUCCAAAAGAGGAGCUUGCUAAUAUCUGGAGCAGCCAGGGCUUCGUCAGAAACAAAACCCACCACUUCCCAGGACGGCGCCUUUGAAGAAGGCCUACUUAUUUGUGCCUAGGCGUCAGGAGGAUUGUCAAACAGCCGCAUCGGCUUCUAACUCUGUCCUCUUUACCAAAAGCUAGCACUGCACGGAGAGGAAGAACCUGGGCAGAGAUACAGAAGAGGGACAAAGUGGAAGAAGAGCAGCUGGGGUGUGACAUCCUCUGCAAAACAAUAUAAUCCCACCUACAGAGCCUCUGUAGUCAAUGUCCAACUCAAGACUGACGUUGGAGCAGAAGAGUUUGGAAAAACCCAUGCCAACUCUUUGGUCAGCUUUUCUCUGAAGCUCUCUCCGGCCUAGUCCAAACUGACAGCUUGGGACCUGGAGUGGGACCUGGAGUGGUAAGCCAACUGACUCAAAUCGAGUUCUAAUUCAACUCAACAAAAGUGCCUGCC
rnacentral:lncRNA from 1 species